rnacentral:lncRNA from 1 species
UUGCAUAAAUGGUAGAGAUUUUAUUGUAUUUCAUAUGAUCAGUAGAAUAAUUCGGUCUAUAAGAACCAAUUGUUUCUAAAGUAAACAGCAAAGAACUUAAUAAUUAGUACCUGAGAUCUUAAGUUCUAACUCCACUUAUUCACAGAAUCACAGUUCCAAUUAAAUUCAUUUAUAAAAAAUAAUAAACAAAACAAAUAGCAUAUUACUUUUCUUUUAAUAAAAAAAUAAUUAAUUUAUAAAAAAAUUCUACAAACUGGGCCGUAAAAAAUUCGAUUUGUUCAAAUCAAGCUCAU